ACUAUGUAUUGGGAGCUCUUCUUAAAAAAAAGCUUUCCAAAAACAUAUCAAUCUACAGCAGAUUACUAAUAACAGGUCCCCCAAUAUUUCAAAACAGGACAUAUCAUUAUAAUUAGGCCCAUCAUUUUAAUUAGCCCAUUGGGCUGCUACCCUCACGCACAGCAGCUUCCCCUCUCCGGCUCUCCCUCCUCCGAUCUCCAUGGCUGCUUCCACCCCGAUGUCCAUCGCCGCCAGCAAGAAAGUCAUGCCUGUGCCUAGAAAAAUCAGUCCGUGCGAUCUCCAGCUCCAAUUGAGAUAGGUAAAAGUGUAAAACGGAUUUGCUAUGAGUCGUUGAAGCCUUUCCAUGCAACUGGUGAUGGAUUCGUCGUCAGAUGUGCCGCCCCUUGCGCCGCCGCCGCCGCCACCGCCUCCACCGGUCGGUGCCGCCGCCUCGACCCGUUGGUGCUGCCGCCCCUCGACCCGCCGGCGCCUUCAACCCUCCGGCGCUGUGUCCAUCGCCCCGCCGGCACCCCUUUGACCCGCCGCCACCGCCCCUCGCCCUGACGCCACUCCUGCGCGCGGGGGAAGGGGUCGUGUGGGAGGGGUCCUACUGCUCGCGCGCGGGAACCGAGAGGGCGAUUGGGGGCAACAGAACCUGUGAAAAUAUGCGCGGCGAGGCAUCAGGAAUUCGCGUCCCGAAAAUAAUGGGAAAGGAUUGAUUUCUUUUGGGGAGUUAAGAGGAUCAGGUGAUCAGCAAAACCGGCCUCCUUAUGAAAAGAUGCUCUGUUUUGCCUGCACUGAUGAACAGCUAGUAUCUCAGGCAUAUGUGUGUGUGACUGAACCUAAGCCCUUUUUGUGUACAUAUUUUGUGUUAUGCUAAGAAGUAUCACUGCAUGCCAAGACACUUUUUCGCUGAUA